GGGGAAUUUUGGACAAUGGGGGCAACCCUGAUCCAGCCAUGCCGCGUGAGUGAAGAAGGCCUUCGGGUUGUAAAGCUCUUUCGGACGGAAAGAAAACGGAUGGGUUAAUACCCUGUUCGGAUGACGGUACCGUCAUAAGAAGCACCGGCUAACUACGUGCCAGCAGCCGCGGUAAUACGUAGGGUGCGAGCGUUAAUCGGAAUUACUGGGCGUAAAGCGUGCGCAGGCGGUUUCGUAAGACAGACGGGAAAUCCCCGGGCUCAACCUGGGACUGCGGUUGGGACUGGGAGGCUAGAGUACGGCAGAGGGGGGUAGAAUUCCACGGGUAGCAGUGAAAUGCGUAGAGAGGUGGAGGAAUACCGAUGGCGAAGGCAGCCCCCUGGGUUAGUACUGACGCUUAUGCACGAAAGCGUGGGGAGCAAACA
rnacentral:rRNA from 1 species